UAGCCAGCGAGUAGAAAGAAUUAGAUUCUUUGCAUACUGCUCAGUAACACGUGGAUAACCUGCCCUACACUGGGGGAUAAUCUCGGGAAACUGAGCAUAAUACCCCAUAGACCACUACGCCUGGAACGGUGAGUGGUUGAAAGCUCAGGCGGUGUAGGAUGGGUCUGCGGCGUAUCAGGUCGUAGGGGGUGUAAUGGACCUCCUAGCCAUCGACGCGUACGGGUUGUGGGAGCAAUAGCCCGGAGACGGAUUCUGAGACACGAAUCCGGACCCUACGGGGUGCAGCAGGCGCGAAAACUUCACACUGCAGGAAACUGUGAUGAGGGAACUCCAAGUGACUGCCCAAUGGGUAGCCUUUUCUUGAAUCUUAAUAGUUCUUGGAAUAAGGGCUGGGAAAGACCGGUGCCAGCCGCCGCGGUAAUACCGGCAGCUCAAGUGGUCGUCGCUUUUAUUGGGCCUAAAACGUCCGUAGCCUGUUUGGUAAAUCUGUGGGUAAAUCAACGAGCUUAACUCGUUGAAUUCUGCAGAGACUGCCAGACUAGGGACCGGGAGAGGUAUGAGGUACUCUGGGGGUAGGGGUAAAAUCCUGUCAUCCUCAGAGGACCACCUGUUGCGAAGGCGUCAUACUGGAACGGAUCCGACGGUCAGGGACGAAGCCUAGGGGCAYGAACCGGAUUAGAUACCCGGGUAGUCCUAGGUGUAAACGCUGUGGAUUUGGUGUGUGGGGUCCGCAAUGGGCCCCAUGUGCCGGAGUGAAGAUGUUAAAUCCACUGCCUGGGGAGUACGGUCGCAAGGCUGAAACUUAAAGGAAUUGGCGGGGGAGCACUGCAACGGGAGGAGCGUGCGGUUUAAUUGGAUUCAACGCCGGG
rnacentral:rRNA from 1 species